rnacentral:rRNA from 1 species
AUUAGUCUUUUAAUUGAAGGCUAGAAUGAAUGGUUGGACAAGAAAUAAUCUGUCUUAAAUUAAAAUAUUGAAUUUAACUUUUAAGUGAAAAGGCUUAAAUUUCCUAGAGUGACGAUAAGACCCUAUAAAACUUUAUAUUUAAAAAUAAUAGUUAAUUUUAUUUAAAAAUUUUAUUUUGAAAUAUUUUAUUGGGGUGAUAAAGAUAUAAAUUAAAAUAACUGUCUUUUUUUUUUACAAUAAUUUUUGAAUUAAGGAUCCUAAGAAAGGAGUAAAAGAUCAAGUUACUUUAGGGAUAACAGCGUAAUUUUUUUUAAGAGUUCAUAUCGACAAAAAAGUUUGCGACCUCGAUGUUGAAUUAAAAGAUCUUUAUAGAGUAGAAACUAUAAAAGAAGGUCUGUUCGACCUUUAAAAUUUUACAUGAUUUGAGUUCAGACCGGCGAGAG